rnacentral:lncRNA from 1 species
CGGCCAUCCGAUCCCUCCCGGCGUCCUACUUGACCACGAGCACUCCCCUUGGACAAACCCUAGGCUGCACUCGCUCUCCUUUCGCUCGAUCUCCUCCUCUGUUCGACGACGAGCGCUUCCAUCGCCGUCACCGCGUCGAUCUUGCGGCCAGCCAGCCCGCAUCCUCCCGCCAUGUCCACGAGCUCCGCCUCGCUCCUCUACUUCGACUACACCGAAUGGCUUGAGCUGGGCGCCUCUACAUCGUCGGGAUCGAGCACUCCUUCAUCUUCGGUCGCUGGUGGCGUGCCCAACUACUCUGCUCCGACCGCCCCGACCUUCCCCGAGCACGCCUAUGGCUCCGCGGUGAGCUCCUCUCCCCGCUCCCCCUGUUUCCCCUUUGAAUCCAUCGUCGUAGAUGCCAUCCCACCCGUGCCACCGCUCACCAUGGCAGGAACUCGUCCGCGUACGCACACUCUCUGCUUUGCCUCUAGCAGUUGCUCAUGUGUAUUGAUGCUGCUCUACCACUCCUGCUGCUUGCCGACGCUGGCCGCCGCCGCCGCUACCUCGCCACGCCUCCGCCUCAGGCCCACGCGCCCCCACUUGCUGCUACCUUCUACUGUUGCCGCAGCUGCCGUCGCCGCGCCAUGUUGUCCCCCUGCUCGCGGGCCGCGCUCGUGCCGCCCGCUCGCCGGUCGUCGCCCGUGCUGGCCGGAGCCGUCCCCAUCCGCGCGCGCGACCUACUGCGCCUGACACCGUCUGUGCCCGCCGCUGCCUGGCGCGGCUGUCCCCGAGCUCGGCCAUGUUGGCGCCGUGAUGCGUGUGCGCUUGCUCGGCUGCUUGCUUCUGCUGCUCGCCAGGUGCUGCUUGUUCUUAGCUACUGCUGCUCGUGCUUAGCUACUGCUAUUGCCCCUUCAAGCGUUGUCCUGCUGUUGGUGCCGCUUCUACUCCUCCUGCUGUUGCUGGCCACGGCCAUGUCCAUGGUUGCGUGCUUUGUGAGUGUGUGUGUGCGCCCAGCCAAUGCACGUAUGUGCACAUGGGGCUAAUCCAAUUAGUUAGUGCUAAUACAAUUUAUUUUAGGUUAGAUUAUUGUUUAGCUAGCCUGAUGUGUCCAUGACACUGGGCCCCCAUUGCUAAAUCACUAGAUAAAUUAAUCUGUUAAAAUUAUUAGUCCAUGACAUGCGGGCUCGUUUUGACCCGUUGACCAGUCAAUGCUGACUGAGUCAACUGCUGACUGGACUAGUUGAUUGGGCCCUGGAGCCCCGUUAUAAACUUAGGCUAGUUCACUUGUGUGUAUAAAAAGUAGUCUGCCACAUUUUAAUAUUCGAUUUAACUAGAUCAAGAAAAUCGAGAAAAUGUAAUAAAUUUUGAUAAAUCAUAUAAAUUAGUUCGUAUUUCGGAUGAAAAUAUUUUAUACAUGAAGGUUGCUCAGAAAAAUAUAACCAUCCCGAAUAUGCACUCCGUUCAUCUGUCACAUGGGUCUAGCAUGACGAACAUGGAACCUUUUCCCCUCUUUCUUCUGUCCGGAAAAUGCCAAACUCCGGGAAAACAUCCCCGGAUGUUUUUCCCAUUCGCCUGUAUCGAGUAGUACCGCGUUAGGUCACCCCUAGCACGUCGUUUUACCAUAUUAUAUGCUUUAUGAUUCUUCGUUUCUUUUAUAUUUAUUGUUUCUUCCCCCUCUUCUCUCCGGUAGACCCCGAGGCCGAUGAUGCCCCAGUGAUUGACUACGUCGGCAAUGACACUUCUUCCUUUUCAACAGAGCUUCUAGGCAAGCAAACCCCCCUUGAGCAUUCCAAUAUCGCCCAUUUCUUUCCCUCUCAUGCUUGCAUUAGAACUGUUACUGCUUUCUGUAUGAUCCUACUCUGAUGCAUAGCCUAUUUUUGUUACCUGCUUUCAUACCUUACCUGCUUAUCCUAAACUGCUUAGUAUAGGUUGGUUAGAGAUCCAUCAGUGACCCCACCUUGUCCUAGUUGCCUCGCUUUAUGUUCGAUGACUCGAUCAACGUGAUCGACGUCCAGGCCCCGACACCGCACAUCACCCCCCUAGUUGUACGACACUACAGAGUUACUAUCGAGUGCCAAUGGUGAACCUCAUACAUCACUCCUGAUGAGAUCUCUAUAGUGUAGCUAUAUAGUCGCGGUCAUCGAGGGUGAUUUCCUCCUUAACCACUUCCGUUACGGCUCUGUCGUGCAACCCCUCAAGUGUGAACCUCGAGGGUGGAUCCUCUUACGUUCACCUUGAUGAUAACAUCGAGUGGAAUUCACCGGGGGUGAUUCCUCGGGUUUUCUCCUUGGUGUCAGACACACAAUUACUAUGGUUACUAUGACUUUACACUAAACCAUGUUACUAAAGACGGGUCGACCCCGAGGGGUACCCGUGCGAGCUUAAUAGCGAGUGAUGUGGAGUCGGGUUGACCUGCAAGGUGCCCGCGAGAUACUUACGAGGCGUGGCCGGGCAUUCUUAGCCCUUGCCGCAAGUACUCGAGACGGGGCGACGGGGUCACAUCUUUUGUGAAUCUCUGCUUGUUACCGCGCAUUACUAAUCCACUAUGUUUUGGAUAUUUGAUCCGAGGGGCCUCUAGCCUGAUAGCACUAACCAUCAUGUGGGCAUAGUAUGGGCGUUCUGCGUCGUAUACAUCAGCCGAAGCUUAAUAGACGUCAGCGACUGAGCGGCGCGCGCCGGGUUGGACUGCGUAAGCACCUGCCUUUUUGAAGGAGGUAGCUAGGUCUGCUCACCGGCCGCCCACGCAAUGUGCAGGAGUUCCCGGGGCGAUGGCCCAUGACCCCUGGGGGCAUAGGUUUAGUCCGGCGUGCUGGCCUCUCUAUUAAGCCUAGGUCAGGUUGCGGCGUAUUGUUUGGCCGAGGCCGGACAUGACCCAGGAAAGUGUGUCCGGCCAGAGUUAAUCGAGCGUGGUGGGUAAGUUGGUGCGCCCUUGCAGGGAAGAAAACAUAUGAGAUGAGAACUGGAUACUUGAGAUGAGAAAUGGAUAUGAGACAUGGUUAUGAUGAAUGGAUAGUAUGGCUCUGGGAUUGCUUUCUCGCAGGGAGUCGAGAAAGGAUCUCUGGCCGAGGUUGAUAACACUACUGCUACUUUACUUUAUGCUACUCUACUCCCUCCUGUUGCUGCAAGAUGGUGGUUUCCACAAGAUGCUAGUCUUCGAUAGGCUAGGCUUUCCCCUUCUCUUAUGGCAUUCUGCAGUUUAGUCCACAGAUACAACCCAUUUCUUUUGAUACAUAUGCAUACUUAGUUUAGAUCUGAAGUAAGUCUUGCGAGUACUUUGCAUGAGUACUCACGGCUGCUUUGCUACCUCUUUCCCCCCAUACCCGAUUGUUGCAACCAGAUGACGGAUCUCAGGAGCCAUAUGACACCACUGAUGACUACUGCUACCCCGAGGGUGUCUACUACUACGUGAUGGCCGCUGACGACUUGGAGUAGUUAGGAGGCUCCCAGGCAGGAGGCCUUGCCUUUUCGAUCGAUGUUGUUUUUGUGCUAGCCUUCUUAAGGCAAACUUGUUUAACUCAUGUCUAUACUCAGAUUUUGUUGCUUCCGCCGACUCUUGUGUAUUCGAGCCCUCGAGGCCCCUGGCUUGUAAUAUAAAGCUUGUAUUAUUUUAAUUUGUGUCUAGAGUUGUGUUGUGAUAUCUUUCCAUGAGUCCUUGGUCUUGAUCGUACACAUUUGCGUGUAUGAUUAGUGUACGAUUGAAUCGAGGCCGUCAUAUACAUGGUCUUAAUAUACCGUCUGUUGAAGAAACAUAUGAUCUUAAUUAUUUAUUUACU